rnacentral:tRNA from 1 species
GCGUUGUGGUUUAUUGGUUACAGCUGACUUGCAAUCAGAUGAUCCCGAGUUCGACUCUUGGUGUCGGCACCA